rnacentral:misc_RNA from 1 species
GGAAAAUAAGGUAUCUUUUGCAUUUCCUUCUUAUUUCCAACAUUCAUUGCACUUUUUUCUUUUAACUUAUAUUGUUUGCAAAUUCCACUGGUGGCACCUGGCCACCAUCAAACUUGUGGUAUAUUAGUGAGAGUCAUGUUGGCGAUAUGUUUCCUCUGUUCACUUUGAUACUGACCUUUGCUUGAAUGCAUAAUAUGCAUGUUGUAUAGAGUAUUGUAUAUGUUUAAUCCAUCUCUGUCCCUUUGCUUGAACUUUGCUGUUGAAUUAUUCCUUAUUUUGCUCUUUUUUUUUGUGUUCCUAACAUCGUCUCUUCUCUGUUUGGUCUUUGAUUUUUGUUUAAAAAUUGUGUUUCAGGUUGCUGUUAAUACAAUUAUUC